CUGCUCCAUAGACAAUUAAUUGGGAAAGAUGUUGUAGAUGACAUUGAGAGCACCAAGGGGAAUGUUCUGAGUAUAUGGGUACUGAGAAAACUAGA